UAAAUACUCCCUCCGUCCGGAAAUACUUGUCAUCUAGAUGUAUUUUAGUUCUAGAUACAUCCCUUUUUGUCCAUUUUGAUGACAAGUAUUUUUGGACGGAGGGAGUAGGUU
rfam:Triticum urartu cultivar G1812 contig889334, whole genome shotgun sequence.